rnacentral:lncRNA from 1 species
UGUGGAAGCAUCCAGUGCCAAUAUAGAGAGUCCCUCCCCAACUAUCCAAGCCAGGGUGGUCCACCUUAAAAGACAUUCAAAAUGGUUUUAUUAUUAGGUCCUUGUAAGACAUUCAAAAUGGUUUUAUUAUUAGGUCCUUGUAAGACAUUCAAAAUGGUUUUAUUAUUAGGUCCUUGUAAGACAUUCAAAAUGGUUUUAUUAUUAGGUCCUUGUGCGAUUUAAUAUCAAAAUUCACACUAACUACUUGAUUGGUAUUAUACUCCAAACUGGAUAUUGCCGCGAUCUCUGUUGACUCCAAGGAUGUGUUUGUGGAACUUUGUACAAGACUAGAGAAACAUAACUGAAACCUCGAUUGUGGUGAGCCUUUGCUAGUACUAACCUG